GUCUUGCUAAAUAUAGUCCAGGCUCACCGUGGCUGCCUCACUGCUCACUGAAUGCUGGACUGCAGGCUUCACCACCACUCCCUGGUCUACACGAUUUUUAAUGUAUUGAUACAUUUAAUUCUCACCAUCAUCUUAUAUGAGUCUCACUAUGCAGCCCAGGCUGGCCUCAAACUCUGAAUCCUCCUGUCUCAGCCUCCCGAGUGCUGGAAUUACAGGUGUCCAACAGCAGAAGUGAAAUGAUUUUAACAAGGCCAUGCAUCUGUUAAAUGGUAGAGCACACACUUAUGUGUACCUGUAACAUAGGGAGCAAGGUGAUUUUCCAGGAGUAAAAGGAGAACUGGCUGGAGAAAAGAGAAAGGGGAAAUUGGGGAGGUGAGAAUAUGAAAAGUUUAGAAUAGCCAGAGUGAAAACUAUGCUUCCGAGCAUCUCC
rnacentral:lncRNA from 1 species